rnacentral:rRNA from 1 species
GGGCAGGGUGAGUCGACCCCUAAGGCGAGGCCGAAAGGCGUAGUCGAUGGGAAACAGGUUAAUAUUCCUGUACUUGGUGUUACUGCGAAGGGGGGACGGAGAAGGCUAUGUUGGCCGGGCGACGGUUGUCCCGGUUUAAGCGUGUAGGCUGGUUUUCCAGGCAAAUCCGGAAAAUCAAGGCUGAGGCGUGAUGACGAGGCACUACGGUGCUGAAGCGACAAAUGCCCUGCUUCCAGGAAAAGCCUCUAAGCAUCAGGUAACAUCAAAUCGUACCCCAAACCGACACAGGUGGUCAGGUAGAGAAUACCAAGGCGCUUGA